AUCCCUGGCAAGGUCUCAGUAAUGUUAGGCCCUCUGGUCUCUUCAGCAUCCACACCUUGCUUCUCUUUCCCUUGGAAAACAAAGGAGCUCUGGGAGCAAGAAGAACUUGGUGCUUUUGGUUAUGGUGUUACUAUCAAGAGAAAACAAACUAAGACACAGGCCAAGGAAGUGGCAUGCCCUCAUUUCUUAAUGGCGUUGAGACCGUAUGCAUCCCCUGAAGAUCAGUAAGGUAAAUGCUUUGCCCCCAAUGGUGCUGUGAGAGAUUAUUUAUGGGAUGAAGCCAAGAGAAGCCUUCAGAGUCUGGGAUUGUGGGGACUGUUGGACCCUCACUCUUUUGUACUCC
rnacentral:lncRNA from 1 species